rnacentral:rRNA from 1 species
GGAUCCAGAUUUUGAUCCUGGCUCAGGAUGAACGCUAGCUACAGGCUUAACACAUGCAAGUCGAGGGGCAGCGGGAUUGAAGCUUGCUUCAAUUGCCGGCGACCGGCGCACGGGUGAGUAACGCGUAUCCAACCUUCCGUACACUCAGGGAUAGCCUUUCGAAAGAAAGAUUAAUACCUGAUGGUAUGAUGAGAUUGCAUGAUAGCAUCAUUAAAGAUUUAUCGGUGUACGAUGGGGAUGCGUUCCAUUAGGUAGUAGGCGGGGUAACGGCCCACCUAGCCGACGAUGGAUAGGGGUUCUGAGAGGAAGGUCCCCCACAUUGGAACUGAGACACGGUCCAAACUCCUACGGGAGGCAGCAGUGAGGAAUAUUGGUCAAUGGACGAGAGUCUGAACCAGCCAAGUAGCGUGAAGGAUGAAGGUCCUACGGAUUGUAAACUUCUUUUAUAAGGGAAUAAACCCUUCCACGUGUGGGAGCUUGUAUGUACCUUAUGAAUAAGCAUCGGCUAACUCCGUGCCAGCAGCCGCGGUAAUACGGAGGGUGCGAGCGUUAUCCGGAUUUAUUGGGUUUAAAGGGAGCGCAGACGGGUCGUUAAGUCAGCUGUGAAAGUUUGGGGCUCAACCUUAAAAUUGCAGUUGAUACUGGCGUCCUUGAGUGCGGUUGAGGUGUGCGGAAUUCGUGGUGUAGCGGUGAAAUGCUUAGAUAUCACGAAGAACUCCGAUUGCGAAGGCAGCACACUAAGCCGUAACUGACGUUCAUGCUCGAAAGUGUGGGUAUCAAACAGGAUUAGAUACCCUGGUAGUCCACACGGUAAACGAUGGAUACUCGCUGUUGGCGAUAUACUGUCAGCGGCUUAGCGAAAGCGUUAAGUAUCCCACCUGGGGAGUACGCCGGCAACGGUGCAACUCAAAUGAAUUGACGG